UACGAAGGGGGCUAGCGUUGUUCGGAUUUACUGGGCGUAAAGGGCGCGUAGGCGGCGCACCAAGUCAGGCGUGAAAGCCCUGGGCUCAACCCGGGAAUUGCGCUUGAGACUGGUGUGCUUGAGUACGGGAGAGGAUAGUGGAAUUCCCAGUGUAGAGGUGAAAUUCGUAGAUAUCGUGAGGAACACCAGAGGCGAAGGCGGUUUCCUGGACAGUUACUGACGCUCAGGCACGAAAGCAUGGGGAGCAAAAGGG
rnacentral:rRNA from 1 species